GAGUUUGAUCCUGGCUCAGGAUGAACGCUGGCGGCGUGCUUAACACAUGCAAGUCGAACGAAGCACUUUAUUUGAUUUCCUUCGGGACUGAUUAUUUUGUGACUGAGUGGCGGACGGGUGAGUAACGCGUGGGUAACCUGCCUUGUACAGGGGGAUAACAGUUGGAAACGGCUGCUAAUACCGCAUAAGCGCACAGCAUCGCAUGAUGCAGUGCGAAAAACUCCGGUGGUACAAGAUGGACCCGCGUCUGAUUAGCUAGUUGGUGAGGUAACGGCCCACCAAGGCGACGAUCAGUAGCCGACUUGAGAGAGUGAUCGGCCACAUUGGGACUGAGACACGGCCCAAACUCCUACGGGAGGCAGCAGUAGGGAAUAUUGCACAAUGGGGGAAACCCUGAUGCAGCGACGCCGCGUGAAGGAAGAAGUAUUUCGGUAUGUAAACUUCUAUCAGCAAGGAAGAAAAUGACGGUACUUGACUAAGAAGCCCCGGCUAAAUACGUGCCAGCCGCCGCGGUAAUAC
rnacentral:rRNA from 1 species